rnacentral:rRNA from 1 species
GAUGAACGCUGGCGGCGUGCCUAAUACAUGCAAGUCGAGCGAACAGACGAGGAGCUUGCUCCUCUGACGUUAGCGGCGGACGGGUGAGUAACACGUGGAUAACCUACCUAUAAGACUGGGAUAACUUCGGGAAACCGGAGCUAAUACCGGAUAAUAUAUUGAACCGCAUGGUUCAAUAGUGAAAGACGGUUUUGCUGUCACUUCUAGAUGGAUCCGCGCCGCAUUAGCUAGUUGGUAAGGUAACGGCUUACCAAGGCAACGAUGCGUAGCCGACCUGAGAGAGUGAUCGGCCACACUGGAACGGAGACACGGUCCAGACUCCUACGGGAGGCAGCAGUAGGGAAUCUUCCGCAAUGGGCGAAAGCCUGACGGAGCAACGCCGCGUGAGUGAUGAAGGUCUUCGGAUCGUAAAGCUCUGUUAUUAGGGAAGAACAAAUGUGUAAGUAACUAUGCACGUCUUGACGGUACCUAAUCAGAAAGCCACGGCUAACUACGUG